rnacentral:rRNA from 1 species
CAGUAGCCGCGGUAAUACGUAGGUGGCAAGCGUUGUCCGGAAUUAUUGGGCGUAAAGGGCUCGCAGGCGGUUUCUUAAGUCUGAUGUGAAAGCCCCCGGCUCAACCGGGGAGGGUCAUUGGAAACUGGGAAACUUGAGUACAGAAGAGGAGAGUGGAAUUCCACGUGUAGCGGUGAAAUGCGUAGAGAUGUGGAGGAACACCAGUGGCGAAGGCGACUCUCUGGUCUGUAACUAACGCUGAGGAGCGAAAGCGGGGGGAGCGAACAGGAUUAGAUACCCCUGUAGUCCCUGUCUCUUAUAC